UUGAUGGUUUGCCUUUAAAUCCUCCAUUUUAUCCACAGAACAGGUACAACAUAUGCAGUGGCAGUGCUAACUUCCUCCCACUGCUCUGCUGCAGUUUGGCAGCCUCAGCUGCAGGUACUAUCCCAUGCUGUUAGAGGGUAAUUCAGUCUCUGUGCCUCUCUGCU
rnacentral:sRNA from 1 species